rnacentral:rRNA from 1 species
GGGGUAACCGCAAGGAGCCAGCCGUCUAAGGUGGGACAGAUGAUUGGGGUGAAGUCGUAACAAGGUAGCCGUAGGAGAACCUGCGGCUGGAUCACCUCCUUUCUAAGGAA